ensembl:misc_RNA predicted gene, 27587
ACAAGCUAAGAUAUACAAAGGAAAAGUACGGCUGCUAUGACAGCAAAAACAAGCAAAUAUCUCCAGAGGGGAUUAAUCCCUCUGCUUCAAAGGAUCCAUGCAAUGGAAGUGCUGCCAGCUUCUCUAGUAACAGCCCCUGUCCAUCAGACAAGGAGGAGCUAAU